CUCACGCUGUAGCUCAGCUGUUCUCAACUAUGUGACUUGGAGCUGUACACUUAAGCCCUCUGGGCGUCAGCUGUCUCCAUAACAUAGAUUCUAAUGCUGUCUUCUUUUCCCUACAGGCUAGUAGGAAGCAUCUUGGAAGAGGGAGUUGGUAUUUAAAAGCCUACAGGGACACACUAGAUUGAGACACUUCUGGGAACUGAAGGGCAUGAUUAAGUUCACAAAGGACCGUGCUACUUCGAGAGAGUCCUUCCUCAGGAGAGAACCACAGAGGAUGUGGGAUUGCACAAUAGCUUCCCCUCUGGGUUAUGGUAGCUGUGGGGCCUUUGUUCUUCUGGAAACGGGAGCACUCUGGGCCAGCGGCACCAUCUGGUGGCCGAAAGGAGAACUUCUCAGAGCAUCUCGAGUCCACCAGCCCUGAAUCGGUCUGGUGGCACCACGGGCAGAAAGAGAAAUAGAAACAGGUGGAGAUACAUUAGACCAGCAUCUGGGAGAUGCAGCUGAAUGAGGAGUGAGGAUCCCAUCAGGAUGGAGGCCUUCCUCCAUUAUAGGAACCGAUAAUACAGGAAGCUGGUGUUCCUCUCUCUGAGUGAGGCUGUUUCCUAUCUGCAGAGUAGGGAUGUAAUAACAGUGGUCCCCAGUGGCCAGUCCUCCAAAGAGGCUACUUAACCCAGGCAGGGACAGUUUACAGUUCACAAACGUGACUCACGGGAAAGGGAUUUCAGGCACAAGGCCAGGCCACUGGUCAUCCUGAAGUCUCAAACUCCAAAAUGGCCUAUUUGUCCCUUUCCCCGUCAGGAAAACUCUCAUCCUGUCCUGUCCUGGGUGGCAUAGGUCCUGACCUGUCCUGUCUAGGUCCCCUGGAGACUGGUUUGAUCAAUAUUCACUCCCCAGUAUGGUGAAGGCUGGAGGCCAUGAGAGUUGAAAAAAAGAAAAGAAAAGAAAAACUUUGAGGCCGGGGGUGGCGUGAGGGGUGGUAUAGGAAGAGCCAACCAAGCACACGCUGAGAGCACAUGAUGUGGCUGUGCCAAGUCCCUUUCCUGCAGGGCACAGGUCCAGAGGGAGGCAGAGGGCAGGGUGCUCAGAUCCAGCUUUAUGUUCCAAGCCAAGAAAUACGACCUGCUGUUGCAGAAAGAGGUUUCUGCUAGUGUGGGAACUGAACCGGUGCCCUGGCAAGCGGCAGCUGGACGCGCGAACCCUGGAAGACAGGACCUGCAGCCCAGGGAACUCGGCAGUUGCUUCCCGUCACCGAGCUUCAGUUUCCAUUCGUGUAAAAACGGUCCACCUGGCUGGUCUCGCUCCAGGACAUAGUAGAGUGUGCUUUCUGAGGCUGCAGUGACUCACAGAGCUUUCCUGAGAGUCCAGAGAGCUCAUGAGAAGGUGGCUGACGCAUUAGGCAGGUCACAAAGCCAGCAUCAAAGCGGUCCACGUGGGCUUUCUGCUGUCAAGCUGCCUUGAACUCUCAGAAGAGCAGAGCUGGUGCCCCGUGCCACUUGGGAUGCAAAGGGACAUCGCAGGGCUUGGCUCUGGAACUCACCUCUUGUGGGUCUGGGUGGCACCAAAUCCGGAUGAGACUGUGAUUCCUCAGGGACUCAUCCCCCAUGGCAAUGCUGGUGAUGACAGUCUUGUCCAGCUGUGAGGAGAUGACACAGAGAGCUGAAGGACCCUAGGUGGCAGCCAGAAGCCCCAGCAGUUCUGCCGCCUGCUCCCAGCACCUGCGUGUAUGCAGUCGUGCCCAGCCUCUUAUGUGAGCUCUGAAUUCAAACCCAGACCUUCACACCUGUAGCGAGCACGCUUGCCCAGUGAGACUCCCUAGCCCCAGGUAAAGGACAUCUCUCUUGAUGAGCUGGGCAGGCCUCAUCCAAUGGGAUAAAAGAUCCUCAAGUGUAAAACUGAAGUUUCCUGAAGGAAGAAAGUUUACCUGGGGCCUACAUGAUGGGUUUCUGCCUACACAUCCCAGCCUGCUCUUCCAAAUGCUGACUUUGUAAAUGUCAGACUUGAGCAGCCAGCCACACAAUGGUAAAAGUCAAUUCUUUGCAAUAAAUCACAUGUGUGUGAUUAUUUAGUUAGU